rnacentral:lncRNA from 1 species
ACCACCUUGCAAACUAUAAACAAUGGUAACAUAGUAUAUUUCAACUUCUGACUUGAUUACAUCUCUGUCAAUCACUUGGAAACCUCACUACCAUGACCUAUUAAUUUGGAAUUCUUAAUUUGUUAUAAAAAAAUUAAUGUUUAAUGUAUGAUCAUAGUCUACUGCACACAUCAUAAAUAUAUAUUAUAUAUAAAAAAGUAGUUACUUAUACUCAAAUCUGGAGCCCCCUAGUUCCUGGUGCCUGUUUGAGAAUGGGUAACAUGAAAACACCCAAGUUGGUCUGUCUCCUUUCCAAUUUUGAUCAGCUUAAUUCCAACUCUACAAAUUAGCAAUCGAUCGAGAUCAAAUUAAUUCUUACCUGAGCCAACCAAAAUCAUGUGUACCCCAACUUACAGCAUCAUACCAUGCAUCUUCUAGAUUAGUUCCUUGACAUGCCACAGAUGUCCAAAUUAACCAUGUUGAACCAGUCAUUGCUUGACUUGGAUUUGAGUCAAACAAGAAGCUCAACAAGAUGUAUAGAC